rnacentral:lncRNA from 1 species
AAAGAGACAAGUUAAAGCCUAGAGCCCUCUCUUGUGUUUUUCUGGGUUACCCAUCUGCCAAAAAGGGUUAUAAACUGUAUGAUCUGGCUUCCAAGAAAUGUUUUAUCUCCAAGGAUGUUAUAUUCCAUGAAACAUGUUUUCCUUUUAAGAAUAAACCUUCUUCUGCUCAUUCUUCUCCUUCCUCUUUUCCUUUUAUUCCUCCUGCUGAGCAUUCCACUGACACCACUUUCCUAUACAUGCUUCUUCUCCUUCUUCCCCUACAUCUAUUCCAUUGAGCAUUCCACUGACACAAAUUUUACUAUUCAUGUUUCCUCUCCUCCUUCCCCUAUAUCUGCUCCAACAUAUGAUUCUCCUGUUCCUGAUUUUACUGUUGCUGAUCCAUCUCCCCUUCCUUCUUUCAGUCAUGACAUCUCUCCUCCUGUUUUACCUUCUUCACAACCUCUUCCUGCUCCUAGAAAAUCCAUUCUUGUGUUUUUCUGGGUUACCCAUUUGCCAAAAAGGGUAAUAAACUGUAUGAUCUGGUUUCCAAGAAAUGUUUUGUCUCCAGGGAUGUUAUAUUCCAUGAAACUUGUUUUCCUUUUAAGAAUAAACCUUCUUCUGCUCACCCUUCUCUUUCCUCUUUUCCUUUUAUUCCUCCUGCUGAGCAUUCCACUGACACAAAUUAUACUAUACAUGCUUCCUCUCCUCCUUCCCCUAUAUCUGCUCCAACAUAUGAUUCUCCUGUUCCUGAUUUUACUGUUGCUGAUCCAUCUCCCCUUCCUUCUUUCAAUCAUGACAUCUUUCCUCCUGUUUUACCUUCUUCACAACCUCUUUCUGCUCCUAGAAAAUCCACUAGAUAGCAUAAUCCUCCUCCCUAUCUUAAGGAUUAUGUCUGCC